AGUAACGCGUGGGUAACCUGCCCUGUACAGGGGGACAACAGCUGGAAACGGCUGCUAAUACCGCAUAAGCCCUUAGCACUGCAUGGUGUAUAGGGAAAAGGAAGCAAUCCGGUACAGGAUGGACCCGCGUCUGAUUAGCCAGUUGGCAGGGUAACGGCCUACCAAAGCGACGAUCAGUAGCCGAUCUGAGAGGAUGUACGGCCACAUUGGGACUGAGACACGGCCCAG
rnacentral:rRNA from 1 species